rnacentral:rRNA from 1 species
GAUGAACGCUAGCGACAGGCCUAACACAUGCAAGUCGAGGGGCAACGGGGCGUAGCAAUACGCUGCCGGCGACCGGCGGAUGGGUGAGUAACGCGUAUGCAACCUGCCUUCAGCAGGGGGAUAGCCCGUUGAAAGACGGAUUAAUACCCCAUAACACAGGGGCUCCGCAUGGAGAUUAUUGUUAAAGGGAUGCUUCCUUCGGGGGUAUUCCGGCUGAAGAUGGGCAUGCGUUCCAUUAGGUAGUUGGUUGAGGUAACGGCUCACCAAGCCUGCGAUGGAUAGGGGAACUGAGAGGUUGGUCCCCCACACUGGUACUGAGACACGGACCAGACUCCUACGGGAGGCAGCAGUGAGGAAUCUUGGUCAAUGGACGGAAGUCUGAACCAGCCAUGUCGCGUGAAGGAGGACGGCCCUAAGGGUUGUAAACUUCUUUUGCAGCGGAAUAAAGUAUUCCACGUGAUGGGAUAUUGCAAGUACGCUGCGAAUAAGGAUCGACUAACUCCGUG